rnacentral:rRNA from 1 species
UUCUAAGGGCGGUGAAGUCAGACCGGAAGGACUGGUGGAGCGCUUAGAAGUGAGAAUGCCGGUAUGAGUAGCGAAAGAAGGGUGAGAAUCCCUUCCACCGAAUAUCUAAGGUUUCCUGAGGAAGGCUCGUCCGCUCAGGGUUAGUCGGGACCUAAGCCGAGGCCGAUAGGCGUAGGCGAUGGACAACAGGUAGAGAUUCCUGUACCAGUGCUAAUUGUUUAACCGAUGGGGUGACACAGAAGGAUAGGGAAUCGCACGAAUGGAAAUGUGCGUCCAAGCAGUGAGUGUGAGAAGUAGGCAAAUCCGCUUCUCGCGAAGCAUGAGCUGUGAUGGGGAAGGAAAUUAAGUACGGAAGUUCCUGAUUUCACGCUGUCAAGAAAAGCCUCUAGGAAGAGUAGUACUGCCCGUACCGCAAACCGACACAGGUAGAUGAGGAGAGAAUCCUAAGGUGAGCGAGAGAACUCUCGUUAAGGAACUCGGCAAAAUGACCCCGUAACUUCGGGAGAAGGGGUGCUCUAUUAGGGUGCAAGCCCGAGAGAGCCGCAGUGAAUAGGCCCAGGCGACUGUUUAGCAAAAACACAGGUCUCUGCAAAACCGUAAGGUGACGUAUAGGGGCUGACGCCUGCCCGGUGCUGGAAGGUUAAGAGGAGUGCUUAGCUUCGGCGAAGGUACGAAUUGAAGCCCCAGUAAACGGCGGCCGUAACUAUAACGGUCCUAAGGUAGCGAAAUUCCUUGUCGGGUAAGUUCCGACCCGCACGAAAGGCGCAACGAUCUGGGCACUGUCUCAACGAGAGACUCGGUGAAAUUAUAGUACCUGUGAAGAUGCAGGUUACCCGCGACAGGACGGAAAGACCCCGUGGAGCUUUACUGCAACCUGAUAUGGAAUGUUUGUACCGCUUGUACAGGAUAGGUAGGAGCCGAAGAGACGUGUGCGCUAGCAUACGAGGAGGCAAUGGUGGGAUACUACCCUGGCUGUAUGACCAUUCUA